CACUCAGCUCCUGGGGCUCAGCCAGGAGAGCUGUGCAGUGGAAUGGAACCCACCUUGGAACAGGAUCCCUGGCUCUACCACUACAAUUGCUGAGUGAUCUCCAGCUGGUUAGUCGGAGCCUAUUUCCUCACGUGAAAAAUUGAGAUGUACAAAUGGCUAACAGGCAUUGCAUUGGACACUGGGC